CUGCUGUGGAACCAGGUGGGACAGAAACUUGGUCUCCACAGAGGUAACCAGCUGCAUGAAAGGUUAGCACUGGUUGAAAUUUAUUUCAGCAUAUAUAGAAAUGCAAGGAAACAGGAGAUAAGAAAGCAAGAAACCCAAAAUUCUUGCCAAGGAAUUAGGAAGUGAGAAGACUCUACCACCACUGUUCACAUGGCCAAAGGAGUUCUCAAGAGGAAUUUUGUUAGGUUCUGACUGCUUCCAUGCUAUGCUCACUUUCUGCUAGGCACUACAUAGGUAAGUGUCUGGGGAGAGAAGUCUUGGAUGUUAUGCCUACUUAGUGCACAAUGUUAGGAAGAGAGUCCUGAGGACCACUGUUGAGAAUUCACUCCCAUUUUGUCUUAGCAUCAGUGGGAACAAAAGGGAAUACAACACAUUCUGCUUCACUACUACUUGCCCCUGCUCCUUGUCUCACCAUGGACCACUAAUGAGACUGUGUGACAGACCUCUAGUGGGGUUCUAUGGUUCCCAUCUCCACUUUUCUCCUUGUGACCAUACUACUGUGUAGAAGAUGAGUACCUUGGAGUGUCUUACCACCUGUUGUGCAGCAUGUACUAGAGAACUUGACAAGUUACAGAGCCAGUGUCAACAGGACUUUAGGAUAACCCAUCAUGCGGCACAGGACACCACCUACACUGUAAGAAUAACCAUUUUGUGUGUCUCAUGUAUUUUGCUGUCUGUACUACAAUUGCCUGAACUGUGAAAGUGUCCACACUCAUGAAUGACCCAUAGAGAUAGUACAUCUGCCCAGCUUCAAUGUGUUAUGCAUGAUACCCAGACUCACUAGUUACAACCAAAGGCACUAUAGAGAAAUUACAUAUGGUGUCCAGUUGGAAAUGAAGCCAGCACUGCAUAACAGAUUGCUAUUUAGAGAUUUAUCUUUUAGAAGGGGAGGAGGUAUUUGCUAAUAACACUCACAGAUCUGAGUGUAGGAAUACAAGAAGGGUAAAAAGACGUCAGAACUUAAGAAUUAUGAAAGAUAAAAUGAUACUUCCAAAUGAUCAAACUCUCUAGUAACAUUCCAGAAAAUGUGAAAUGGAUUAAAUUCCUCACAAGAAUGAAAAGAAAACCUUGAGCCUCUUGAGUAUUCCACUCAAAUACAAUAAAAGAAACAAUAGAAAUAAUUGAAGAUAUUUAGGACAUCAUCAGUUUCAUUGGAAUAUCUGAAGGUGAAAUAUAGAUGAUAAAGCCACAUAAACCCAUUCAAUGAAAAAGACCCAAAUAUUGAGUAAGAAUGGAGUGUUUGUGUAAAGUAGGCAUAGAGAAAUCCAAAUAGACAUGACCGGAGAAUCUUUACUAUGACAUUUAAUAAUAGAUGUGCCAAAAAGCCAUAGGACAAAUAAUAAAUGUGCAAAGAAACCACAAAAUCAGAUGUUUAGUGAUUUCACUAUACUAACAAUGACUUUCUCAACAGAAAGCAUGUAGGGCAGGAAGGAAAAGAAUGAUGGAGUCUGAGUUGAAGGAGAAAGAAAAAACCCUGCUCACUGGGAUUACUAUAGUCACCAAGCAAAUGCUUGAGAAAUAAAGACAUGGCAAGAUAAAACCGAGGAAUGCAUGGUCACCAGACUGAAUGGAAAAGAAAGAGAACUUCCAUCGUGAAGGCAUAAAUGAGGAGACUGAAUGCACAAACACUAAAUAGAAAAGGACGGACAUCAUUGCUACACCAAACCAUCAGAUAGCCAAGAGAAAAACCAGAGUAAAGAAUUUACAAAAUGACUGCUAGAAAAUGAAUAAAAUUGCAGGUGUAAGUUAUUACUUUUCAAUAAUGAACUUGGAGACAUAUGAAUGAAAUUUUCAAAUGAAAUGACUGACUAGUAGAAUGGAUUUUGUGAAAGAAAAAGACUUAGCAGUAUACUUCUUAACUGCCGAGCCAUCUCUCCCGCCCUUAGCAGUGUACUUCUUAUAAGAAAAAGACCUCACCAGUAAAAAUGUAGACUGAAAGUAUAGAAAACUAUAUUCCAAGCAAAUGAAAUUUUAAUGCUUGCAUGAGCAUCUAUACGUACAUCUCAUGAACAGAACAUAAAACUGUAAGAAGAGGCAAGGCAGGUUACUACAUAAUAAUCUAGGAGUAAAUCCAAGAAGUCCUAAUGUUGUAAAUCUUUAUAUGUCUAAUGUCAGAGAUCCCAGCCAUACAGAGCAAGCAGCAUGAGAAUAAAGGGAAAGAUAAGCUCAAAUACAAGAUUACUUGGAAGGGAGGGCCUCAAUAUCCUAUGCUCAUCAAAAGACAGAAGCACCCCGAUACAAAAGCAACAUGAAAUGUCAGAGUGAAACUAUACUAUAGUGCAAAUGUAAUGAACAGACAUGUCCAGA
ensembl:lncRNA